rnacentral:rRNA from 1 species
AUUGAACGCUGGCGGCAGGCCUAACACAUGCAAGUCGAGCGGAGCGGCGGACGGGUGAGUAAUGCCUGGGAAUCUGCCUGUUCGCGGGGGAUAACGUCAGGAAAUGGGCGCUAAUACUGCAUACUAUCCGCUGUGCCUAGGCCGGCUUUGGUAGUGGGGGGGGUAACGGCCUACCAAGGCGACGAUCCGUCACUGGUCUGAGAGGAGGAUCAGUCACACUGGAACUGAGACACGGUCCAGACUCCUACGGGAGGCAGCAGUGGGAAAUAUUGGACAAUGGGCGAAAGCCUGAGCAGGCCAGGCCGCGUGUGUGUAGAAGGUCUUCGGAUUGUAAAGCACUUUAAGUUGGGAGGCGUUACCAACAGAGUAAGCACCGGCUAACUUCGUGCCAGCAGCCGCGGUAAUAC